rnacentral:rRNA from 1 species
AGUGAACGCUGGCGGUAGGCCUAACACAUGCAAGUCGAACGGCAGCACAGUAAGAGCUUGCUCUUACGGGUGGCGAGUGGCGGACGGGUGAGGAAUACAUCGGAAUCUACUUUUUCGUGGGGGAUAACGUAGGGAAACUUACGCUAAUACCGCAUACGACCUACGGGUGAAAGCAGGGGAUCUUCGGACCUUGCGCGAUUGAAUGAGCCGAUGUCGGAUUAGCUAGUUGGCGGGGUAAAGGCCCACCAAGGCGACGCUCCGUAGCUGGUCUGAGAGGAUGAUCAGCCACACUGGAACUGAGACACGGUCCAGACUCCUACGGGAGGCAGCAGUGGGGAAUAUUGGACAAUGGGCGCAAGCAUGAUCCAGCAAUACCGCGUGGGUGAAGAAGGCCUUCGGGUUGUAAAGCCCUUUUGUUGGGAAAGAAAAGCAGCAGGUUAAUACCCCGCUGUUCUGACGGUACCCAAAGAAUAAGCACCGGCUAACUUCGUG